rnacentral:rRNA from 1 species
GCAUGCUACAUGCAGUCGAGGUAGGGGGCACUGGCGACGGUGCGAACGGUGGUAUGUAUCGGACGUGCCCAGUUGUGGGGGAUACUGCUCGAAAGAGCAGCUAAUACCGCAUACGACCUGAGGGUGAAAGCGGGGGAUCGCAAGACCUCGCGCAAUUGGAGCGGCCGAUAUCAGAUUAGGUAGUUGGUGGGGUAAAGGCCUACCAAGCCGACGAUCUGUAGCUGGUCUGAGAGGACGACCAGCCACACUGGGACUGAGACACGGCCCAGACUCCUACGGGAGGCAGCAGUGGGGAAUUUUGGACAAUGGGGGCAACCCUGAUCCAUCCAUGCCACGUGCGGGAAGAAUGCCUUAGGUUGUAAACCGCUUUUGUCACGAAGAAAAGCUCCUUCU